rnacentral:rRNA from 1 species
GACGUAGGGUCCAAGCGUUGUCCGGAUUUACUGGGCGUAAAGAGCUCGUAGGCGGUCUGUCACGUCUGCUGUGAAAACUCGGGGCUUAACCCCGGGCCUGCAGUGGGUACGGGCAGACUAGAGUGCGGUAGGGGAGACUGGAAUUCCUGGUGUAGCGGUGAAAUGCGCAGAUAUCAGGAGGAACACCGGUGGCGAAGGCGGGUCUCUGGGCCGUAACUGACGCUGAGGAGCGAAAGCGUGGGGAGCGAACAGG